AAACUAGGCGGGGAGAUGUGACGAAGCAUCUUCUAUAAAUGAGCCAAGCACAACUGCUUCCAUCUCUCUCUACUUCAUCUCGCAGCUGGUUUCCCUGGUGGUCCGGAAAGAUUGCAAACAACCAAGAGAAACCUAUGUUGUUUGAGUGUAAGGAAAUCCCUGCACCUUUGCACAGAAACUUGAUCUGAAAACUCCCCCUUGACUCAGGAUACAAUCAAUCUUCCUUCAUGAAUCCUGCCUCUGGACCAAGACUGGCUGAAAUACUUGCUUUCUACAACAAAACCUGAACUACACACAUCUGUCUCUACAAUCUGCAAAACACCUAAUUCUGCCAAUGAAAAUAAGAGAUUUCAAGCCCACAAAACAGACCGUCAAACCUCUCCUCCUGCUAGCAUCUCCCUGUUUUAUCAGCCCCCAGGGAGCUGUCAGCGGGUGGGGUAGGGGAGACUUAGGUGGACAACUCAGAAGGUGGUUCUGGAUGAAGAUGACAAUCACAGAUCAAAGCUACAUUUUAUGGACAGUGGACUCAUCCAUAAAGUAGAAAGCACUACUAAACGCUUGUGUCCAAGUGUAGUGUUUCCUACUUUAUGGAUGAGUGUACUGUGAGCAACGGAGGCAACAAGGGACAACACAAUCAAGAAUGGAAAACAGAAGCAGCAGAAUAACGUGUAAGUAUUGUCAGUUUGUCCACAGAUUGUAUUGCACAAUAUUUUAUUUAGGUACAGAGUCCCUUUGAUGUACUGCCAUUAUAUUCAUCCCUCUUUCCCAGCAUUUGGACUCAAAAUUCCCCAAGUUUCAUUUAGGACCAUUUUGCAUGUUUCUGCAUUUAAAUAAAAUAAAGGAGAAAAGUUAACAAAGUG